UUUAAGGAUGAUGCACAUCCGUGGGUCGGAACAUAAUACAGCAAUUUAUGAGCUCUGAUUGAGAUGUUCUUCUGGAUCGUCGGGUCUGAGACUGCAAUAUAAUGAGCAGCCUUUCGCAUUCGGUCAGCGGUUUCUGUUGAAGAUGUGACCUAGGGUUCUCAGGGUGGUGGAGAAAUGCGUUCAACAGCUGCUCUGGAGGUGAAUUGAAAAUGGUGUUAAUUUUCACGGGUAAUGAAUCAAAGCAGCAGAUUAGAAGCGUUGGGGGAUUGAGGUUCAAUUGAGUGGAAAUGAGUCAGCUUCCGUAAUACGCUUCCAAAACAAUUGGUGAACAAAAACGAACAAAAAGACUAAUAAAUAACACUCCACCGAUUACCACCUACUAGGAACUUCGAUCUCCCUCAGGAUGAAAUGCUCUCUGGCGACUUUCUCUACUCCACGCCAGUCGCCAUUCCCAGCGGACUCACCAACACAACCGACAUGUCUAUCGAGCGAACGAGACCCCGAAAACACUUAACUUUGGAACGCUUCACUGCGUGCUCAAGUGACCAUCUACUCCAGUGCAGUCCGAGCGCUGGGGUCGCAAAACGCAACUCUCCGGGGUGUAUUUUGACAUAUUAAUCUAAAGAAUUUCAGUGAUUUGUUUUCAUCCAUUCUUGGGUUCCACUUUGUAAGAAAAUGCCGACAUCGCGCAGAAAACAAUAAAAUAACAUUACCAAGAGCCUCUGUAUGCGUGCGUGUCCUUACGGCCGGCAGACUGGCAAAGCAAGUGACACGCACUAAAGGAUCGGGGGACAAAAAAAUCCGCAGGACAAUUGGAUCAAACGUACCGAACCACGCCUUCCGUUUGCUCUCUUUACGGUUUUUAGCCAAAAGAACAAAAAUCGCAACAAGAUAAAUGUAUAUCGACGAUGACAGCUUCGUAAUGAUGUUUUUGCGUCCUUCUUCUC